rnacentral:rRNA from 1 species
AUUAAACGCUGGCGGCAUGCCUUACACAUGCAAGUCGAACGGCAGCACGGGGGCAACCCUGGUGGCGAGUGGCGAACGGGUGAGUAAAGCAUCGGAACGUGCCCUGGAGUGGGGGAUAACGUAGCGAAAGUUACGCUAAUACCGCAUAUUCUGUGAGCAGGAAAGCAGGGGAUCGCAAGACCUUGCGCUCUGGGAGCGGCCGAUGUCGGAUUAGCUAGUUGGUGGGGUAAAGGCCUACCAAGGCGACGAUCCGUAGCGGGUCUGAGAGGAUGAUCUGCCACACUGGGACUGAGACACGGCCCAGACUCCUACGGGAGGCAGCAGUGGGGAAUUUUGGACAAUGGGCGAAAGCCUGAUCCAGCCAUGCCGCGUGAGUGAAGAAGGCCUC